GGAGUGGAGGUUCUUUCUUGUUGAGUGCCGGGGCGGAGCCGUCUAAGGUGUGCCUGGUAAGGGGGGUGAAGUCGUAACAAGGUAGCCGUACCGGAAGGUGCGGCUGGAUCACCUCCUUU
rnacentral:rRNA from 1 species